GGUUAAGUUAGAAAGGGCGCACGGUGGAUGCCUUGGCACUAGGAGCCGAUGAAGGACGGGACGAACACCGAUAUGCUUCGGGGAGCUGUAAGCAAGCUUUGAUCCGGAGAUUUCCGAAUGGGGAAACCCACCACUCGUAAUGGAGUGGUAUCCAUAUCUGAAUACAUAGGAUAUGAGAAGGCAGACCCGGGGAACUGAAACAUCUAAGUACCCGGAGGAAGAGAAAGCAAAUGCGAUUCCCUGAGUAGCGGCGAGCGAAACGGGACCAGCCCAAACCAAGAGGCUUGCCUCUUGGGGUUGUAGGACACUCUGUACGGAGUUACAAAGGAACGAGGUAGAUGAAGAGGUCUGGAAAGGCCCGCCAUAGGAGGUAACAGCCCUGUAGUCAAAACUUCGUUCUCUCCUGAGUGGAUCCUGAGUACGGCGGAACACGUGAAAUUCCGUCGGAAUCCGGGAGGACCAUCUCCCAAGGCUAAAUACUCCCUAGUGACCGAUAGUGAACCAGUACCGUGAGGGAAAGGUGAAAAGCACCCGGAAGGGGAGUGAAAGAGAUCCUGAAACCGUGUGCCUACAAGUAGUCAGAGCCCGUUAACGGGUGAUGGCGUGCCUUUUGUAGAAUGAACCGGCGAGUUACGAUCCCGUGCAAGGUUAAGCAGAAGAUGCGGAGCCGCAGCGAAAGCGAGUCUGAAUAGGGCGAAUUGAGUACGUGGUCGUAGACCCGAAACCAGGUGAUCUACCCAUGUCCAGGGUGAAGUUCAGGUAACACUGAAUGGAGGCCCGAACCCACGCACGUUGAAAAGUGCGGGGAUGAGGUGUGGGUAGGGGUGAAAUGCCAAUCGAACCUGGAGAUAGCUGGUUCUCUCCGAAAUAGCUUUAGGGCUAGCCUCAAGGUAAGAGUCUCGGAGGUAGAGCACUGAUUGGACUAGGGGCCCCUACCGGGUUACCGAAUUCAGUCAAACUCCGAAUGCCGAUGACUUAUCCUUGGGAGUCAGACUGCGAGUGAUAAGAUCCGUAGUCGAAAGGGAAACAGCCCAGACCGCCAGCUAAGGUCCCAAAGUAUACGUUAAGUGGAAAAGGAUGUGGAGUUGCUUAGACAACCAGGAUGUUGGCUUAGAAGCAGCCACCAUUUAAAGAGUGCGUAAUAGCUCACUGGUCGAGUGACUCUGCGCCGAAAAUGUACCGGGGCUAAACGUAUCACCGAAGCUGCGGACUGUUCUUCGAACAGUGGUAGGAGAGCGUUCUAAGGGCUGUGAAGCAAGACCGGAAGGACUUGUGGAGCGCUUAGAAGUGAGAAUGCCGGUAUGAGUAGCGAAAGAGGGGUGAGAAUCCCCUCCACCGAAUGCCUAAGGUUUCCUGAGGAAGGCUCGUCCGCUCAGGGUUAGUCGGGACCUAAGCCGAGGCCGAAAGGCGUAGGCGAUGGAUAACAGGUUGAUAUUCCUGUACCACCUCCUCACCAUUUGAGCAAUGGGGGGACGCAGGAGGAUAGGGUAAGCGCGGUAUUGGAUAUCCGCGUCCAAGCAGUUAGGCUGGGAAAUAGGCAAAUCCGUUUCCCGUGAAGGCUGAGCUGUGAUGGCGAGCGAAUUAUAGUAGCGAAGUUCCUGAUUCCACACUGCCAAGAAAAGCCUCUAGCGAGGUGAGAGGUGCCCGUACCGCAAACCGACACAGGUAGGCGAGGAGAGAAUCCUAAGGUGAUCGAGAGAACUCUCGUUAAGGAACUCGGCAAAAUGACCCCGUAACUUCGGGAGAAGGGGUGCUCUGUUAGGGUGAAAGCCCGAGAGAGCCGCAGUGAAUAGGCCCAGGCGACUGUUUAGCAAAAACACGGUCUCUGCGAAGCCGUAAGGCGAAGUAUAGGGGCUGACGCCUGCCCGGUGCUGGAAGGUUAAGAGGAGCGCUUAGCGUAAGCGAAGGUGCGAAUUGAAGCCCCAGUAAACGGCGGCCGUAACUAUAACGGUCCUAAGGUAGCGAAAUUCCUUGUCGGGUAAGUUCCGACCCGCACGAAAGGCGCAACGAUCUGGGCACUGUCUCAACGAGAGACUCGGUGAAAUUAUAGUACCUGUGAAGAUGCAGGUUACCCGCGACAGGACGGAAAGACCCCGUGGAGCUUUACUGCAGCCUGAUAUUGAAUGUUGGUACAGCUUGUACAGGAUAGGUAGGAGCCUUGGAAACCGGAGCGCCAGCUUCGGUGGAGGCAUCGGUGGGAUACUACCCUGGCUGUAUUGACCUUCUAACCCGCCGCCCUUAUCGGGGGGAGACAGUGUCAGGUGGGCAGUUUGACUGGGGCGGUCGCCUCCUAAAAGGUAACGGAGGCGCCCAAAGGUUCCCUCAGAAUGGUUGGAAAUCAUUCGCAGAGUGUAAAGGCACAAGGGAGCUUGACUGCGAGACCUACAAGUCGAGCAGGGACGAAAGUCGGGCUUAGUGAUCCGGUGGUUCCGCAUGGAAGGGCCAUCGCUCAACGGAUAAAAGCUACCCCGGGGAUAACAGGCUUAUCUCCCCAAGAGUCCACAUCGACGGGGAGGUUUGGCACCUCGAUGUCGGCUCAUCGCAUCCUGGGGCUGUAGUCGGUCCCAAGGGUUGGGCUGUUCGCCCAUUAAAGCGGUACGCGAGCUGGGUUCAGAACGUCGUGAGACAGUUCGGUCCCUAUCCGUCGCGGCGCAGGAAAUUUGAGAGGAGCUGUCCUUAGUACGAGAGGACCGGGAUGGACGCACCGCUGGUGUACCAGUUGUUCUGCCAAGGGCAUCGCUGGGUAGCUAUGUGCGGACGGGAUAAGUGCUGAAAGCAUCUAAGCAUGAAGCCCCCCUCAAGAUGAGAUUUCCCAUUCCGCAAGGAAGUAAGAUCCCUGAAAGAUGAUCAGGUUGAUAGGUCUGAGGUGGAAGUGUGGCGACACAUGGAGCUGACAGAUACUAAUCGAUCGAGGACUUAACCAA
rnacentral:rRNA from 1 species